rnacentral:rRNA from 1 species
CCAGACUCCUACGGGAGGCAGCAGUGAGGAAUACUGGUCAAUGGCCGGAAGGCUGAACCAGCCAAGCCGCGUGAAGGACGAAGGUGCCAAGCAUUGUAAACUUCUUUUGUCAAGGGACAAAAUCAGGCUCGAGAGCCUGACCGAGGGUACUUGAAGAAAAAGCAUCGGCUAACUCCGUGCCAGCAGCCGCGGUAAUACGGGGGAUGCAAGCGUUAUCCGGAUUUAUUGGGUUUAAAGGGUGCGUAGGCUGUGAGGUAAGUCAGCGGUGAAAUGCCCCCGCUCAACGGGGUGAAGUGCCAUUGAUACUGCCUUGCUGGAAUGCGGAUGCCGUGGGAGGAAUGUGUGGUGUAGCGGUGAAAUGCAUAGAUAUCACACAGAACACCGAUUGCGAAGGCAGCUUACUAAACUGCCACUGACAUUGAUGCUCGAAAGUGUGGGUAUCAAACAGGAUUAGAUACCCCAGUAAUA